UCCGGUUUGGCACCGGCAGUCUUCCUAGAGUCCCCGCCAUUACGCGCUGGCAACUAAGAACAGGGGUUGCGCUCGUUGCGGGACUUAACCCAACAUCUCGCGACACGAGCUGACGACAACCAUGCACCACCUGUGAACCGGCCCCAAAGGGGAAACCACACUUCUGCGGCGGUCCGGUCCAUGUCAAGCCUUGGUAAGGUUCUUCGCGUUGCAUCGAAUUAAUCCGCAUGCUCCGCCGCUUGUGCGGGCCCCCGUCAAUUCCUUUGAGUUUCAACCUUGCGGUCGUACUCCCCAGGCGGGGUACUUCCUGCGUUAGCGCCGGCACCCAGAGGGUCGCUCCCCCAGGCACCUAGUACCCAUCGUUUACGGCGUGGACUAC
rnacentral:misc_RNA from 1 species